UUCAGGGAGUGGCCUUGGGUGGCACAGGCCACCCCUGAAAUCUGAUUGGCCACCCCAAGUGCCACCCCAAUAUCUUACAAUAUGAUUGGCUAUAUGCCCAGUCAGAGGCGGGCCACGGCACUGAAUGUAAACUGCACUCUUGUUUAGAGUUGCAGUUCCUUCUCAAACCUGAGAGGCAGAGAUGCGCUAAAGUAGUAUGUAGCCUGCAAAACAAAAAAAGGCGCGAAGAAGAAGAAGAAGAAGUUUGAGCAGGUGAACCUACAGGUGAAACAAACUGUUUUUCUACAGUCAGUCUAUGGAAGCAACACGUCUCUGGAGCGUCGUCGUGAAAGAUGACAGGAAGAAGGGAGGGAGGAAGGAAGCAAGGAAGGAAGGAACUGUCAAAACAGAUUGGGUCUCUUGAAUGCCAACCUACCGACUGGUGUUUACAUGAUCGUGGGAACUAUGGAAGUCUCCAGAUAUGUGGCAUCAAUGGAAGACAUCUGGAGGAAGAAGAGGAAGCGUAUACAGACCAACUGAAGGACCAUCUUCUCUUCACUGAAGCUCUGAGGUAGGAUAUGUUUUCUCUCAGUAUUACCAGCUGCUGUGUUUAAUGUUGAUGGAACUGAGUUCACUUUAAAGGGUCAGAUCAUCACAGAAUCUCUUUGGCAGACCUCCAUUCAGUGCUUGAAGUGGAGACAAAUAAGUGUCAGUACUCCCCUUAUUCAUAUGUUACCGUGUGUAAGCCGCAAUCUCUUUUGACUUAUUCCUAUUUAUGUAUGAUUUUUAAGCAUGUUAUACUGUUUCAGUCAUCAUCAGCUGGGAUUUUAUUGCUAUAUUAUUAUACUUGGGGUUAUGCAUCUUCUAUAGUUGGCCUAUAAUACUCCAAUAAUAUUCCAAAUGGAACAUUAUAGGGUUAAGGUGGUGU